rnacentral:tRNA from 1 species
GUGGGCGUAGCUCAGUUGGUAGAGCCCCAGGUUGUGGCCCUGGUGGUCGCGGGUUCAAGUCCCGUCGCUCACCCA